CCUGGGAUAGUUCAGCUGGCAGAGCCUGAGACUCUUAAUCUCAGAGUUGUGGGUUUGAGGUCCAUGGUAUUGCAGGG